GGCAGGCUUAACACAUGCAAGUCGAGGGGCAUCGGGAGGAAAGCUUGCUUUCCUUGCCGGCGACCGGCGCACGGGUGAGUAACACGUAUGCAACCUGCCCUCUUCAGGGGGACAACCUUCCGAAAGGGAGGCUAAUCCCGCGUAUAUCGGUUUCGGGCAUCCGAGAUCGAGGAAAGAUUCAUCGGAAGAGGAUGGGCAUGCGGCGCAUUAGCUAGACGGCGGGGUAACGGCCCACCGUGGCGACGAUGCGUAGGGGUUCUGAGAGGAAGGUCCCCCACACUGGUACUGAGACACGGACCAGACUCCUACGGGAGGCAGCAGUGAGGAAUAUUGGUCAAUGGGAGAGAUCCUGAACCAGCCAAGCCGCGUGAGGGAAGACGGCCCUAUGGGUUGUAAACCUCUUUUGUCGGAGAACAAAACCCGGGACGUGUCCCGGACUGCGUGUAUCCGAAGAAAAGGCAUCGGCUAACUCCGUGCCAGCAGCCGCGGUAAUACGGAGGAUGCGAGCGUUAUCCGGAUUUAUUGGGUUUAAAGGGUGCGUAGGCGGUCCGUUAAGUCAGCGGUAAAAUUGCGGGGCUCAACCCCGUCGAGCCGUUGAAACUGGCAGACUUGAGUUGGCGAGAAGUACGCGGAAUGCGCGGUGUAGCGGUGAAAUGCAUAGAUAUCGCGCAGAACUCCGAUUGCGAAGGCAGCGUACCGGCGCCAGACUGACGCUGAGGCACGAAAGCGUGGGGAUCGAACAGGAUUAGAUACCCUGGUAGUCCACGCAGUAAACGAUGAAUGCUGGUUGUCCGGGUCGAAUGAGACCUGGGCGGCGAAGCGAAAGCGAUAAGCAUUCCACCUGGGGAGUACGCCGGCAACGGUGAAACUCAAAGGAAUUGACGGGGGCCCGCACAAGCGGAGGAACAUGUGGUUUAAUUCGAUGAUACGCGAGGAACCUUACCCGGGCUCAAACGGGAGUGGAAUGGACCAGAGACGGUUCAGCCUACGGGCCGCUUCCGAGGUGCUGCAUGGUUGUCGUCAGCUCGUGCCGUGAGGUGUCGGCUUAAGUGCCAUAACGAGCGCAACCCCCGCCGGCAGUUGCUAACGGGCAAUGCCGAGGACUCUGCCGGGACUGCCGCCGCAAGGCGUGAGGAAGGCGGGGAUGACGUCAAAUCAGCACGGCCCUUACGUCCGGGGCGACACACGUGUUACAAUGGGCGGUACAGCGGGAAGCCAGGCGGCGACGCCGAGCGGAACCCGAAAGCCGUUCUCAGUUCGGAUCGGAGUCUGCAACCCGACUCCGUGAAGCUGGAUUCGCUAGUAAUCGCGCAUCAGCCAUGGCGCGGUGAAUACGUUCCCGGGCCUUGUACACACCGCCCGUCAAGCCAUGGGAGCCGGGGGUGCUUGAAGUGCGUCGCCGCGAGGCGCGCCCUAGAGCAAAACC
rnacentral:rRNA from 1 species